AGUGAACGCUGGCGGUAGGCCUAACACAUGCAAGUCGAACGGCAGCACAGUAAGAGCUUGCUCUUACGGGUGGCGAGUGGCGGACGGGUGAGGAAUACAUCGGAAUCUACUUUUUCGUGGGGGAUAACGUAGGGAAACUUACGCUAAUACCGCAUACGACCUACGGGUGAAAGCAGGGGAUCUUCGGACCUUGCGCGAUUGAAUGAGCCGAUGUCGGAUUAGCUAGUUGGCGGGGUAAAGGCCCACCAAGGCGACGAUCCGUAGCUGGUCUGAGAGGAUGAUCAGCCACACUGGAACUGAGACACGGUCCAGACUCCUACGGGGGGCAGCAGUGGGGAAUAUUGGACAAAGGGCGCAAGCCUGAUCCAGCCAUACCGCGUGGGUGAAGAAGGCCUUCGGGUUGUAAAGCCCUUUUGUUGGGAAAGAAAAGCAGCAGGUUAAUACCCCGCUGUUCUGACGGUACCCAAAGAAUAAGCACCGGCUAACUUCGUG
rnacentral:rRNA from 1 species